GUACGGAAGGCAGCAGUGGGGAAUUUUGGACAAUGGGCGCAAGCCUGAUCCAGCAAUGCCGCGUGCAGGAUGAAGGCCUUCGGGUUGUAAACUGCUUUUGUACGGAGCGAAAAGGCUCUCUCUAAUACAGGGGGCUCAUGACGGUACCGUAAGAAUAAGCACCGGCUAACUACGUGCCAGCAGCCGCGGUAAUACGUAGGGUGCAAGCGUUAAUCGGAAUUACUGGGCGUAAAGCGUGCGCAGGCGGUUAUAUAAGACAGAUGUGAAAUCCCCGGGCUCAACCUGGGACCUGCAUUUGUGACUGUAUAGCUAGAGUGCGGCAGAGGGGGAUGGAAUUCCGCGUGUAGCAGUGAAAUGCGUAGAUAUGCGGAGGAACACCGAUGGCGAAGGCAAUCCCCUGGGCCUGCACUGACGCUCAUGCACGAAAGCGUGGGGAGCAAACAGGAUUAGAUACCCUGGUAGG
rnacentral:rRNA from 1 species